GAGGGCAAAGAUUGUUUAAGACCUGACAAUCUCUCUCGCUUGAUAGUAUGAACCGGGCCCAUUCCGGCAACCGCUCGAUCGGGAACACGUAUUUCACCAGCGAUUGACGAUCAACAGCAGAGAUUGACUGGAAAAUGAUGCCAUUUGGUGCAAGUAGACUGAAAACUAUAGAAGCGAGAUCAGAGUCGUUUGAUUGGAGGAUGAUAUCGAUCCAACCACCGUUGGAUGACGGGAGGUAGGAUCCAUUAGGGGGCGAUGCAGCGUCCC
rnacentral:misc_RNA from 1 species